GCUCAGCAAGCUGUCCAUAGAAAAUGCUACAAUAUUCACAGAAAUUGGAGGCACAAUAUGAAAUUGCAUUACAAGCAUGUUAAGAACGUCUUACAUGUGGAUCCUUAUAGUCAUCCAUACGAACAUGUGACUCAAGAGGAUUGGCGCCACUUAAUUGACGAUGUGUGGAAAAGUAAAGAACACAAGGUGAGAUCAAAAGCUGGCAAAAAGAAUAGGAAAAAGCUUGAGUACAAUCAUUGUUCAGGAUCUCGGUCAUUUGUUGCAACAAUGACUAUACAGAAUUCUAUAAGAAAACUCAUACCAAGAAGAACAAAGAGUGGAUUGAUCCUAUUUGCGCCGUGAAACAUUCAAAGAUGUUGAGCUUGCGAGAAGAAUCUUCCCAAUCCGGUGUGCAAUUAACAUCAGAGGAGAUGUCUAGGCAGGCACUUGGAAAAAGGAAGAGAUACAUUCUUGGAUUUGGGGAUGGGCCGAAGCCCUCUUCAUCUUCUUCCACACCUAGUCGUGUGUCACAAGACCAUGUUGGGGAGUUACAGAAACUUAAAGCUGAGAUGGAGGAGAUGAAGAUGGAGCGUGAGAUGGAGCGUGAGGAGCUGCGGAGGCAAUUGGAACAGGAGAGGAGAGAGCGAGAGGAAGAACAGAAGCAAAUUGCACAUCUUACAAGUUUGGUGACAGAGUUCUUAAAGGAAAAGACUCAAACGCAUAAGUCGUCUAUCCAUCAUGAUGGGGCCAUGUAUUCAACUGGUGGCACAAAUACUCGUUGAUACAUGGUGGAGUUAUGAGCAUGUGAAUCUAGUUUUUGGUACAUGGAUAGCUUUUGUUC